UCCCUCUUUUCCUCCUCUUCCUUCUGUGGUCCCUACCUGCAACCCCCAGCUUGGUAACUCAAGUUCCACCUCCCUCUAUUCCUCCCAGUAAUUGGCUGUUGCCAGUUUUAUUUAACCAAUAGUUUUAAAGUGGGGAGCAAGAUUUACACAACAAAGGCUGGUGUAUGUGAGGAUCUGCUCAUCUUGGAGCAACCAGAUCUUGGGGUACUGAAGUGGAACUUUCUGGUUCCUUUGGAGAGUCAGUUGUGUCAUGUGAUGUUUUUCUGGAAACUAUCUUCUGAGAGAAUGUUUUUGUUGAAGCAGAUGCAUGGGAGAAUGUCUUGCUGAGAACAGACUCGUGGUGUUUUUCUGGAAGCUGCCUUGAAAGAGUCACGUGAUGUUUUGCUAGAGCAUAUCCUUGGAGAACAGUGUGAUGUUAGGGAACAGUAUAACUAUAAAUAUAACCAGCAGACAGUGGACCAUGCUGUAUGGUAUUGGUUUACCUUGCCACUUUUGGCUGACUCUGGUCAUCACUGAUGACACUGUAGCAUUGUUUUGCCUUGCCUUCUUCACUGGUCAUCAUUUGUUGUGACUUCAUAGAGAGAAACGGACCAAUAACUUCUGGUGAUGUUCCAGUUUCUUGCCUCUUUUGGGGACUUGGGCUGAUUGGUAGAGCCUCUCCGCCUCUUCUGAACAGAACAGCUGAUGCUCAUUCCUGUGAACUGAACUGCUGCUAUUCUGACAAAGAAGAUUGGGACUUCCCCAAAGAACUAUGUCUAAACAGAUCUUUUAUGUCAGCAAUAAAUGGAGUCCCUUUGGUUUAACUUCUGAUUGCUGUGAAGUGUCCUUGUCCUGUGGAAAGGUCUGGGAGCAUUUUCAAAGCAACUAAUAAGUAAACAUGACUGCUUUCAAGCCUUUGAAAGUCUAAACCAGGAGUCAGCGUAUAUUUUUCAAGGUGAUCUAGCACAUACAUAAACAGACUGCUGUAUCCCUAGAACACAGCCACCACACAGCCUUCAUUGGAGAUGCUUCUCACAGCACACGGGGUUUGUAGCAUCAGUUGUGGACGUUGUGCAGAGAGCGGGAGACUUUGGAACACUCAGCCCUAAAGAGGAUGUGUUUAUCAAACCCUUCCCUCAGGAAUCUACAAGAGAGAGCAGUGAGACCGUAAGAGGCAGAGGUGGUGGAGGACCUUUCAGACAUCACAGGACUGAUACCAAUUCACAGAGACUGCAAUAUCGUACAGUCUGCAUAGGUUUAAACCAGACAAAAUCCCAGCCCUGAGAAGGGGAGUGGACACAGAGUUCCAUCUCUAACCAAGAAGUUAUCUGGAGUUGAAACCUGCUGAGAGGGGAAUACCUGUUUUCUCCAAUGCAGUGAGACUGAGUGUUUCAACCACUCCAGAGCAGGCCCCGUGCCCAGCAGUUGUUGACCAA